CGCGUAGGCGGCCUGGUAAGUUUGAAGUGAAAGUCCUUCUUUUAAGGGGGGAACGUGCUUUGAAAACUGUCGGGCUUGAGUGCAGGAGAGGUAAGCGGAAUUCCCGGUGUAGCGGUGAAAUGCGUAGAGAUCGGGAGGAACACCAGUGGCGAAGGCGGCUUACUGGACUGUUACUGACGCUGAGGCGCGAAAGUGUGAGGAGCAAACA
rnacentral:rRNA from 1 species